rnacentral:rRNA from 1 species
CUAGCGAGACUGCCGGUAAUAAACCGGAGGAAGGUGGGGGAUGACGUCAAAUCAUCAUGCCCCUUAUGACCUGGGCUACACACGUGCUACAAUGGUUGGUACAACGAGUUGCGAGUCGGUGACGGCGAGCUAAUCUCUUAAAGCCAAUCUCAGUUCGGAUUGUAGGCUGCAACUCGCCUACAUGAAGUCGGAAUCGCUAGUAACCGCGGAUCAGCACGCCGCGGUGAUUACGUUCCCGGGCCUU